rnacentral:rRNA from 1 species
GUCCACGCCUUAAACAAUGGAUGCUGGGUAUGGGAGGUAUCGACCCCCCUGUGCCGAAGCUAACGCGUUAAGCAUCCCGCCUGGGGACUACGGCCUCAAGGUUAAAACUCAAAGGAAUUGACGGGGGCCCGCACAAGCAGCGGAGCGUGUGGUUUAAUUCGAUGCUAAGCGAAGAACCUUACCAGGACAUGACAUGCUCGUGGUACCAAACCGAAAGGCGAGGGACCCUUCGGGGAGCGAGCACAGGUGCUGCAUGGCUGUCGU